rnacentral:rRNA from 1 species
GACAGAGGUGCCGAGCGUUAGGCGGAAUCACUGGGCUUAAAGCGUGUGUAGGCGGACCUCUAAGUACCUUGUGAAAUCCCACGGCUCACCCGUGGAACCGCUGGGUAUACUGGGGGUCUUGGGCCACUCAGGGGCGACUGGAACAAGCGGUGGAGCGGUGAAAUGCGUAGAUAUCGCUUGGAACGCCGAAGGUGAAAACAGGUCGCUGGGAGUGCGCCGACGCUGAGACACGAAAGCCAGGGGAGCAAACGGG